UUAAAUCUGCCCAGGCCUUUAAUGCAUCGCGAACGUGGAAGAACACUUGCGUUCGCGAAGAAGAAAAAAUAGAAGUUGCCAAAAAUGCUCUUCACUAUCGUGAGAAGCAGUACGCGAAUGCGAGGGCCUGAGAUGACAAGGCUACGCUAAUGUGAUGGAGGAAAUUGUGGAACACUACGAACACGGAAGUACCGGACGCAAACGGGAUGAAGAAACUGGUCUCCCUCUAGGAUUACUCUACGCAAACUCGUGGAGGAGGACGUGAACGCAAGGAAGGAAAAAUCAUAGCUUCGCGAAAGCGAAGAAGGAAAUAGGACUUGUAGCUGCUGAAGGAUUUCUGCAACUUUUCCCAACUCCAAAAUGCUCUGUUGAGCUUCCGAAAUAUACCUGAGGCCCACGGGACCUCAACCAAAAC
rnacentral:lncRNA from 1 species